AGGAUAAACGCUGGCGGCGUGCCUAACACAUGCAAGUCGAACGCGCUUACUAUCCGCGAGGAGGGUGAGCGAGUGGCGGACGGGUGAGGAACACGUGGGUGACCUACCUUUCAGUGAGGGAUACCGGCGAGAAAUUGCCGACAAGACCGCAUACGCUUCUCUUUUCAAGGGGAGAAGGAAAGCUUUUCGCAAGAGAGGCGCUGGGAGAUGGGCCUGCGGCCGAUUAGCUAGCUGGUGGGGUAAUGGCCUACCAGGGCGACGAUCGGUAGCUGGUCUGAGAGGACGAUCAGCCACACUGGGAUUGAGAACGGCCCAGACUCCUACGGGGGGCAGCAGUGAGGAAUUUUCGGCAAUGGGGGCAACCCUGACCGAGCAACGCCGCGUGCAGGACGACGGCCUCGGGUUGUAAACUGCUUUCUCUGGGACGAGCAAGGACGGUACCAGAGGAAGAAGCCCGGCUAACUACGUGCCAGCAGCCGCGGU
rnacentral:rRNA from 1 species